AAGUCGUAACAAGGUUUCCGUAGGUGAACCUGCGGAAGGAUCAUUAUCCUUUAGCGUAGCGCUCUUCUGAGCACUACAUGCGCAUGCACUCUUUAGUGUUGCGUUACAAUGCACGGCGAACGGGCCUCGUUUCGUUCGCUUCUCAAAUCCUUGCUCGCUCGAGCACGGUCGGGUACCUAUGUGUAAUAACACGCAAGCGACAGAUGCUCGUCUGUCGUGUGGCGUAAAGAUUAUUCUUGCUUUAAGAAUAACGCCCGCUAAGCACAAACAUUUUUACUACAAACUUAUAUCGCAUUUAACUAUGUUGUAUGUGUAAUGCACUGUCUUGCUUACUUAGCGAGAUAUUAACACAAAUACAACCCUAUGCGGUGGAUCAUUUGGCUC
rnacentral:misc_RNA from 1 species